AUCAAUUCAAAAUCUUUCAGGAGAUUUAGGCCGCCAUGGAAGAGGUCCUGUCUACAAAAAUCUGUCAAAAAAAUUUGAGCAAUGUAGUCGGUUGGACACACAGAAUUACACAAAUGACAAUAAAACACAAGGAAUUAUGGAGAAGAGCCAGUGGGACCUGAAACGUGUGCGCUUUCACAGACGCCGCCUCACACGGCUGGAUGAUUUUGUGCAUAUUUACCAAAUAACCCAUAAUUCCCUGCUGAAGGAGUUUUCAGACUCUACCCGCAAGAAAAAAACACACAGAGUAGAGGUUGAGCGUUGGAAACAGAAGGCGUUCCAAGAAAGGCAUUUAUGUAUCGCCACUACUAAAGGCCUUCCCCUUCAAGAAAGUCAAAAAGCCCAGGGUGCUGACCAAAAAAACUGGACCACAGGCAGCAAACCAAGAGGAAAAUGUCUGCAGGCAAAACUUGACUGCAGUGGAAGAAUGUGACACCUCCUUGAUGGAAGACAAUGCUCAUACAGACGCCCAGUCUGAUGAAAAUAAAAGUGAAGAGACUGCAGUGGAAGCAUGUGCUACAUCACGGACAGAAACAGUUGAUGAAGUGAUCCAAUUUGCUGACACUAAAGGCAAAAAGCUCACCUCCUUGUGGAAAAAAAAAAGCCACAGAGGUUGUGGUGUCUGUGAUCCCCACACAACACAUAGGACAAAUGAUUAAUGUCCAUCACAAAGAGCUCCGUUCACUUCAACCACACCGAUGGUUAUAUGGCGAGAUAAUUGAAUGCCGGUUUCAUCUUGCUGUCAACCAGUUGGAGAUGGGGAACUCCAUAUACAUUCUCAAUCACUACACAGCAUGGGCGAUUCUGUAUGGGGAAAGCUCGCAGCUUGUCCGGCACAGUUUGCCAAAGGUCAACUUUGACGAUUACCAGGCGAUUCUUUCAUUUGUGAACAUCAGCAAGGUCCAUUGGAAGCUUCUGUACAUCAAUGCUGUCAACCACACAGUGUACCUGGUAGAUCCUUCUAAAAGCUGCACAGAAGAAGCUGAUUCCAAUUAUGCUGGACAAAAAUUCAGGUUAUCAUUUCAUGACUCAUUAAAUCUACAAGCCACAUUCUAUCACUAUUUGCAAGGAGUUUUGCAGCACUGAAGAGAUGAUGAAAACUCAAAAUUCAAUGAUUCCCAUUCACUAAAAGGGUUACACCAAAUAUUAACCCAAUAGCCAGGCAAAUAGUUAAAGAAAUUCAGUAUAUGUUACAGUUUCAGCAGACGGAGACAGCAGGUAAAAGUAAAGUUGGUUUAUUAAACCAACAGAGUUGAUAUGGAUCACAGGUGAGUAAAUGGCAAAGGAAGUUAAGAUGGUAGAAUGAAUGGAGUUUUAUACUGUCCUUUGUUUUGCAGGAAGGUCACUGGAGUGGAAGCUGACUUGAAGACACUCACACACAGACUUGGAAUACAGGAGGGAACACAGAGACACAGGAGACAGGAGACAGGUAGGUAUCAACAGGAGUCUUUGAGGUAAGCAUAGAGGUAAGUUUCUCUUGAUGCGAACAAGACCAGACAAUGUGACUGAGUGUGAGUGUCUUAAGUAGUGGUGAUGAUGAGCGUGAUAAUGAGCUGCAGGUGACGGUGAUUAAUACUCAGGGGAAGGUGCUCGCUGUGAUUGGAGGGUGCUGGAGCCUGGCGUGUCUGUUACAGUAUAUUAUAUAAUUUUCCUGUAUCAAAAGUAUUUACUACCAGUAAGCUUGAUGGUAAAAUUUAUUGAGAUAUUACAAUAUUGUAAAGACUGUAUUACAUUAAAGUAGUGCAUUUAUUUACAUUCCAUUCCAUGUAGGUCAUAGCAGAGAGCUUGUGACUGUUGUAUUGGGAAAGGAGAUGCAAAUCAUUUGUUUUGUUAUGGACUUAGAAAUGAAAUUAAGAGUUCACGAGAAUUACUUACUUGUAUUUACACAUUUCACUCUUAUAAAAAGAGUUAUACGUUUAGAAUAUAUUAUUCUUGGAAAGAAAAGCUUUCUGUAAUCUUUCACUACUUAAUACAUAUUACUGUUAUUGUCACAGUUCCCUCGUCUCCUGGACUCCAUUACCCAUGAUCCUCCUUUUCUCCACACCUGCACUCACUUCCCUCGUAUUCUCCCCAUCACCACGGAUUACCUGCACCUGCUCCUGAUCAUCUGCACUCCCUUUAUAAUGGACUCACUCCCUUCACUCCCUGUCUGUUCUCUGUUUAUGUUAAGUUGUGUGUUGCUGUGUCUGUAUAGUUUAUCUCCUUUAUCUCCUUUGUCAUUAAAAUCCAUCAUUGUGGAUUUCCUAUGUACGCUUAAUCUCUUCUGCAUACACCAGCUGUAACAGUUAUGCAUCACAUUUCCUUUUACAUUUCCUUUCACGCAGUGAGUACCUACAGAUGAGGAAAACAUGCCAUGGAAAAACGGACUGGGUGGGCAUAAAAUGGAAAGCAGGUGUUCUGACACAUCCAGUCCAACAGGAUAGCAGUAGCUGUGGGGUCAUUGUCAUCUUGAUGGCAAGGGCAAUAAUGAGGGCAUUUCCAGCUGUCCCAAAUUUUCAUUUUGGAACCUCAAAAAAGGAAAUGGCACAAGAACGAAAAUUGAUGGCUCUGCAGAUACUGCAAGAAUCAGUGUUUGAUGAGACCAAUAACUGCUCUAUGUGCUCACUGAAAGAGCCAAGUGGAAGUGCACAACCUGUGACAAAGUGGAUCCAGUGUGACAGCUGCGAGAGAUGGUACCACGAAAAGUGCCUGGGCAUGACUAAAAAAAACUGAAACAGGCCAGGGUCAACAAUUGGGACUGCAUUUUGUGCUCUUAAACUUGUAAGCAGUAAACAUAUUUUUUUUUGUUUUAUUUAUUAAUGCUAUUUUUAUUUUAUUUUUUGG